rnacentral:rRNA from 1 species
UACGAAAGGGGCUAGCGUUGUUCGGAAUUACUGGGCGUAAAGCGCACGUAGGCGGCCUUGUAAGUUGGGGGUGAAAUCCCGGAGCUCAACUCCGGAACUGCCUCCAAAACUACAACGCUCGAGGAUGCGAGAGGAUAGUGGAAUUCCGAGUGUAGAGGUGAAAUUCGUAGAUAUUCGGAAGAACACCAGAGGCGAAGGCGACUGUCUGGCGCAUUUCUGACGCUGAGGUGCGAAAGCGUGGGGAGCAAGCAGG